GCCCAUACAAAAAAACGAAAAAAGGAAAAAAAAAAUUGUACCUCCGAUCGGUGCAGAAACUUCGCCGGCGAAUCGAUCGGAAGUGAAGCCGCCGUAGAAGGAAGCGAUGCUCGGUCUCUCCUAUGGCGAACUUUUUCUUCUCAUCGGUGCCACCGCCGCUCUUGUUGGUCCAAAGGAUCUGCCGAUCAUUGCGAGAGUGGCAGGAAGAUUAGCAGGGCGAGCAAUCGGCUACGUUCAAUUGGCCCGCGGCCAAUUGGACAGUGUUAUGCAACAAUCCCAGGCUCGGCAGGUUCACAAAGAACUUCAGGAUACAAUGGCUCAGCUGGAGGCUAUUCGUCAUGAAAUAAGGAGUAUUUCUCUCGUGAAUCCUGGUCCUUUGACUCGAAGGGUGGAGGACAUUCCUCCAGAGUCUAGUCCUAGUCAUCCGGAACCUAGUCCUAGUACAAGCAGCGAUCCAGAGUCUAGUCCUAGUCCAAGCACUAAUGGGAGUGCCACAUCAACGAAAGUUGAAGAAAGUCUGAAGCAUGCUGAUCACUGGGCAAAGGCUCAAGAAUUUAAUGCCUCCUCAGCUUCAGUGAACUUACACUCCCAAGCAACAGCAUUUGCUAGACUAGCUCACUCCGAGACUGUAAAAUCGCCUUCUUUGAAGAGCAGUGGUGAAAAUGAUACUCUAAGUAGUGAUCCAGGUCUCUUAGCUGUUCUUCCUGUUUCAGCCGAGAGUGCUGGAUUUCUUCCAGGUCGGAAAGAGAGUGUGAAAGGAUCAGAUAUCAUGCUGGAGGCAGUUCUUGAAGCAGAAGUGGCGAAAAACGCCAAAGACUUCUUCUCACGGCCCGAGAAUCAUAUUCCACCGCAAAAGGUCUAAUUGUCUGGGCGAUGUUGCUGGAUUGAAUUGUUUGGAGCAUAAUUAAACUCUGCGACUAAGAGUUAAGGCUUGCCAACUUGUCAUUAUAAUUGGACCCAUCAAACAUCGAACGUGCCGUUGCCGCCACAAGACUGCCUGAUCCAAUAAAUCACACACUCAUAUUAUAUAUGUGCGUGUGUGCGUGUGAUCACACAUACAUGCAUGUCUAUUGUGCAAUACAUUAAUGAAAUUUUGCUGCAUUUCUUUGAAGCACAUCAUCUCCAUGUGCUUACUGAUCUAUGAAAAUUGCAUUCUGAUUCGU